rnacentral:rRNA from 1 species
GUGGCAGAGAUGUCAUUUCCGCAAGGGCUCUAUACAGGUGGUGCAUGGUUGUCGUCAGCUCGUGUCGUGAGAUGUUGGGUUAAGUCCCGCUACGAGCGCAACCCUCGUUCUGUGUUGCCAGCAUUUAGUUGUGACUCACAGGAGACUGCCGGGGUUAACUCGGAGGAAGGUGGGGAUGACGUCAAAUCAUCAUGCCCCUUAUGUCUUGGGCUGCACGCAUGCUACAAUGGCCGGUACAGAGGUCUGCAAUACCGUAAGGUGGAGCGAAUCCCAAAAAGCCGGUCUCAGUUCGGAUUGAGGUCUGCAACUCGACCUCAUGAAGUUGGAGUUGCUAGUAAUCGUAGAUCAGCAUCGCUACGGUGAAUACGUUCCCGGGGCUUGUACACACCGCCCGUCACGUCACGA